GAUGAACGCUGGCGGCGUGCCUAAUACAUGCAAGUCGAACGGGGAGUAGCAAUACUUCUAGUGGCGAACGGGUGAGUAACGCGUUGGUGACCUGCCCCGAAGCGUGGGAUACCAAUCCGAAAGGAUUGCUAAUACCGCAUGGAGUUCUCGAGAUUAGAGGCUUUGGGAACGAAAGGAGACAUUCACUUCGGGAGGGGCCUGCGUCCCAUCAGCUAGUUGGUGAGGUAACGGCUCACCAAGGCGAUGACGGGUAGGGGACCUGAGAGGGUGGCCCCCCCACAAUCGGAACUGAAACACGGUCCAUACACCUACGGGUGGCAGCAGUAGGGAAUAUUGCAAAAUGGGCGCAAGCCCGAUGCAGCAACGCCGCGUGGACGAUGAAGGCC
rnacentral:rRNA from 1 species